AACGAACGCUUGCGGCGCGCCUAAUACAUGCAAGUCGAACGAACCAGCAAUGGUGAGUGGCGCACGGGUGAGUAACGCGUGGAUAAUCUGCCCUCUACUGGGGAAUAACUAACCGAAGGGUUAGCUAAUACCGCAUGAGACCACGAUCGCUACGGCGAAUGAGGUUAAAGAUUUAUUGGUAGAGGAUGAGUCUGCGCGGGAUUAGCUAGUUGGUGGGGUAAUGGCCUACCAAGGCGACGAUCUCUAACAGGUCUGAGAGGAUGACCUGUCACACUGGAACUGAGACACGGUCCAGACUCCUACGGGAGGCAGCAGUAGGGAAUAUUGCGCAAUGGGGGAAACCCUGACGCAGCGACGCCGCGUGAGUGAUGAAGGCCUUCGGGUCGUAAAGCUCUGUUGUACGGGAAGAAAAAAAUGACGGUACCGUAUAAGAAAGGAUCGGCUAACUUCGUGCCAGCCGCCGCGGUAAAAC
rnacentral:rRNA from 1 species